UUUUAAUUUCACCAGGACUUCCAGGUCUGCUAUGCUGGGAUUGUGGAUUGUGCUUAUUCUUUCAGAACCCUCUGAUCGUAAAAAAGGAAUCCUCUCACAUUUUGUCUUUUUAGGCUAAUAUGUUUUAGUCUCUUUAUUUCUUUACAAACCCUAAUAGUUUUAAGUGACCUUCUUUGGAUAUGUUACAGUUUCAGUAUGACACUUCUGAGGUUUAAUGACUGGAAGUCAACCCAGUAUUUCUGGAGCAGAUGCAGUCUGGUGUCUCCGUGUGUGUGUGCGUGUGUGCAAGCACUCACGAGAUUGUGCUUUCUAUUUUGUUUUUAACAUCCUUCCUGAUGAUGCUUGCCUUUGUGAAUGCCACAAUACUUUGGACCGACUUCUUCAGGGAAUGAUCUACGAUGAUGCCAUCAUCCUUUUCCUGGAUCACGUCUGCACUUGGAAGCCUUGGUCUCCUGAGAACAAGAGGAGGAAACGGUGAAAUGAAGACACCUGAUUCUAGAAGCUAGAAGCUCAUGAUUCUAGAGCUAGUCAGUGACUGAGCUGAACUUGACACUCGUUCUUUCUGCUAAUGAAGUUCAAGCUUUUGACCACAAUGCUACACUGCCCAGCGUUCCAGUAUGAGGUCUCCAAGAAUGACUGCAACUCUAUCGUUCGUGUGGGCCUUUCCAAAAGAUUAAUGGGAAGGCGACAGAUUCCAGGGACUUCGCAUCCUUUUCAGAAGCAAGGGGGCUCUAAUUUAUACUAAAUGCUAAAUGCCACUUUUGGAUGGUGCCAGUGAGCUGACUACGUAACCUGCCUCAAAAUAAUGUGAGAAUUAAUUAUUACUAAAAAUUAUAAUUUUGUGGACUAUAUCAAUACGUUCACAUUAAAUUCAUAUUUAAUCAGGCUCCCCUCAUUUCGUUGGGUGAUUAGAAUAAUUUAAGCCACAAAACAACCUUGAGAGGGAGUCAUUACUUUUCCUAUUUUAUUUAAAAAAAAUUUUUUUUUUUUGGUCUUUUUGCCUUUUCUAGGGCUGCUUCCUAUGGCAUAUGGAGGUUCCCAGACUAGGGGUCGAAUUGGAGCUGUAGCCACCGGUCUACACCAGACCCACAGCAACGCAGAUCUGAGCCGCGUCUGCAACCCACACCACAGCUCACGGCCACGCCGGAUCCUUAACCCACUGAGCAAGGCCAGGGAUUGAACCCGCAACCUCAUGGUUCCUAGUCGGAUUCGUUAACCACUGCGCCACGACAGGAACUCCUACUUUUCCUAUUUUAAACAUGAGGAACUGAGCAGUGCCUGAGCUCAUUUACGUGGCUGAUAGUUACAUAAAAAUACAAAUUUAAUUGAAAACAGCUGAAAAAAAGGCAGUAUGUGUUCACUUAACGUUAUAUACGAAGGUCUGUGAUAAUCUGAGAAGUAGAAAUGGUUUAGAACUAAAUAUUUAAACAUUUUAAAAUCGUAACGUCUUUUAUAAAUUCUGAGACAAAAUGGCACUCUCAAGGGAAAUUUUGUUGGUAUGAUUAAAAAAGAAAGACCCAAAUAAAACACCAUGACCCCAAGGAAAAUUAGUUUUAAACAUCAUUUAAACUCUGAAAGAGAUCAGCAUAAUUUAUUCGUAAGACCAAUCUUGCCACAUAACAGGGACCCAGUGACUUCACCUGACACUUCGAGGAGAGGGGAGUCAGAUUAGUCCCUCUCUGAAAACCGGAGGAAAAACACGGCAGUGCUACAUCCUGUCCCUUACCCCCCAACAAAGACAGGAACACAAUCCUGGAGCAUUUCCGGGUGUCAAUCAACAGUUAAUGUGUUAUCUGCUCAGUGACAUUAAGAUGUGGUUCCUCCAGCCCUUGACAAAGACGUUGGCUCUGAUGAGUGACAGACAACAAGCCCGGGCAGGCUGGUGAAAGGAAAUUCAAUUAUGCUGCUGCUGAAUUGUGCAUCCUCUGGGUUGAACUCAGAUUCAAAUACCAAAGAGAGACACUCGACCCUAGAUUUCCUUCAGGGAAUGCUGAGUGAUUUCACAAUUUUGUCUCCGCUUGAGAGGGACACACUUCAGGGCAAUCAGGUGGCAGAGCCCACGGAAGAGCGAAUGCCCUUGAAGGAGGCGUGUGAGGGCUGGCGUUUGCUGUCGGAGAGGCGUUUAGAGAAGGGCGGGUCACUCUGGGCCCCCGGAAUUCAGAAUUCGACGCCUGAUAGAACCAGGACAGAGCUGGCUUUUGUCUGAGAAGUCAUUCAAAAAACAGCUGUUCUCUUUGUUGACGCAAGUAGACUGGUCUCCCAGGUGGGGGUGCAUGCAGCCCAGAGGUUGGCUAAAGACAGCAAUGGGGGCUGCGAAGAAAAUUACAACUGUUUUUUGGCUCCAACAGUGUAAAGAAGGCAUUCAGCUUACUUGCACAUAUGGAAUGGUGGUGCGGGCCUCCCCACAAGCCUUUCUCGGUUGCUGUGUUGGAUAUUCAGGAAGUAUUCCUGAGUCGGGAAUGGAGUUCCACAGAGAAGAGAUGGGGAGGGAGCCAAGAGAAUCCCCCCCUCUUUUUUUUUUUUGGCCUUUUAGGGCUGCACCCAAAGCAUAUGGAGGUUCCCAGGCCAAGGGCUGAGUUGGAGCUGUAGCUGCCAGCCUACACCACAGCCACAGCAAGGCAGGAUCCAAGCUGUGUCUGUGACCCACACCACAGCUCAUGGCAAUGCCGGAUCCUUAACCCACUGAGCAGGGCUAGGGAUCGAACCCGCAACCUCAUGGAUACUAGUUGGGUUCCUUAACACUGAGCCACGAUGGUAACGCCCUAGAAUCACUCUUGUUUGCUUGUAGAAUAUGGCUUUUCAGAUUAUAUCCUCUUGUUUUAACUUUUAACUGAAUGAAUGCUCACCAAAUAGACAUGAGGCUGGAAAAUACUCCUUGCAGAGAAAUUGCAGGUUAAAAAAAUACUAAUAAUGUAAGCACAUGUGGAUGACUGUAACAUUGUAGAGGUGGCUCUGCUCACUCCUUAUGUGAGACACAUGACCAGGGAAAAGCAAUGAUCGAAUCCAAUCUGUUAAGAAUUAAGCUACUUUUUUCUCAUUAUCAAUACUAUUUAAAAUAUGGAUUCAUAUCCACUGUUUUUUCAGCUUUAUUGGCAAGUAAAAUUGUAAGCUAUUUAAAAUCUAUAACAUGAUGAUCUGAUAAAUGUUAACUCAUCCAUUAUCUCACAUAUUUCCCCCCCCCUUUUUAAUGAGUUCUACCCUCUUAGCAAAUUUCAGUUAUGCAAUACAGUGUUAUCAACUUUAGUCCCCAGGUUAUAUGUUAGACCCUCAGGACUUCUUCAACUUUUUUUUUUUUUUUGGCCAUGCCCGCCUUUUUUUUUUUUUUUUUUUUUUUUUGGCCAUGCCCGUCUUUUUUUUUUUUCAGCAUGUGGACGUUCUGGAGCCAGGGAUAGAACGUGAGCCACAGCAGUGACAAUGCCAGAUCCUCAACCUGCUGAGCCACCAGGGAACUCCCAGAACUUAUUCAUGAAAGUCUGUACAUUUUACCAAUCUCUCCCCAUUCCCUCCAACUCUCCAGCACCUGGCAACCACUUUUCUACUCUCUUAAUUCUGUGAUUUCAAUUUUUUUUUCCAAUUCCACAUAAAAAUGAGAGCAUACCGUAUUUCUCUCUCUCUCGUUGGUAUUUGACUCGAACACAGAGGUCUCCAGCUUCAUCCACGUUGUUAUAAAUGACAGGUUUUCCAUCUUUUUAUAGCUAAAUAGCAUUCCAUCAGGGUGCAUAUAGGGUUUCUUUUGAGGUCUCUUUUCUUGGCCUGUAGAUGGCUAUUUUCUUCCUCUUUGUUCACAGGGUCUUCUCCUGUGAGCAUAUAUGUUUUUGUCCAAAUUUCCUCUUCUUACAGGGAUGCAAGUCAUAUAAGGUUAUGGCCCAACCCAAUGAGCUCAUUUAACUUCAUCACCUAUUUAAAGAUCUUAUUUCCAAACGCGAUGGCACUAUGAGUUACUGAAUUUGGGGGAAACAUAAUUCAGCUCUUAACAAAAGCCAUUAAAAUCAAGUAUUAAACUGAACUUAUAAACGGACGUUCAAAUCACCAAUCAGAGGUUUCAAACCAAGAUUUCUUUCUUUCUUUCUUUUUUUUUUUUUUGUCUUUUUGUCUUGUUAGGGCCAUACCCGUGGCACAUGGAGGUUCCCAGGCUAGGGGUCGAAUCAGAGCUGUAGCCGUUGGCCUACACCACAGCCACAGCAACACCAGAUCCGACCCGUGUCUGCGACCUACAUCACAACUCACAGCAACACUGUGGGAUCCUUGACCCGCUGAGCGAGGCCAGGGAUCAGACCUGCAACCUCAUGGUUCCUAGUUGGAUUCAUUUCUGCUGCACCACAACGGGAACUCCUAAACCAAGAUUUUAAAAAGAAGCAUAAUUUUCCAAGUUUUGUACCAAUAACAAAUACAAAUUAUUUACAAGUACUCUAUAUGCCAACUUGAUCUCAUUCUUUAGAAACUUUUGCUUUAGGUUUAUGCUCUAUGAUACCAUCAUUUUCUACCAUUAAUUCAUUAAUUUAGCAAACACUAUAAAGUCCUUCUCAAGUGCAAGUUCUCUGUUCUAGGCAGCUGAGGCAGAUCAGAGCGAAUGCCAGAUACGUGCCUUCGCGGAGCUUACAUUCUAGUGGCCAAGAGACUGACAUGAAGUCAAGAGCAUCGUAAUUAAGACCGAAGGACUUGGCUCCAGCUCCUGGGAGUGUUGCCAACUCAGCCCUCAGCUGUCAGCCCUCUCUGGGAAUUGCCCUUGGCCUAAGAGGGCUGCCUCACCCACGGUCAUGACCUCUUCCUGGUCAGCCUGCACCUGAAGACUGAUCACCGCGGGGGUGAAAAGGCCCAGAUGCCAAGACUCAAAGUGAGCCCAGCUUGAGAGCUCCCUGUGGGGUUGGCUGGGGACUCUGUCCAGCUUAAAUCACAGCCCAAAUUCUCCCUCUGCCCAGUCUUGGUGCUUUCACUUUCCUCAGGGUCCAGCGUCUAAUUUCCUGAGGAACCCAAACCCACCGCAAAACAAUAUAAUGUUAUGAUAUAUAGGGCAUGUAUGUGAGAUGAUAUUGAACAUUAUGAUAGAAUAUGCGUAUUAUAUCCUCUUAUAAUGCUAUACUCUAUUAUUUACUGUUGGUCUUCCUCGUUGGAAUGCGGCCUUCAUGAGAGGAAGUAUUUUACCUUGUUUGUCCACUGCCAUAUCCACAGCUCCCAGAACAGAGGCUUGAAAGUAUUUGUCCCUCAAUAAAUGUGUUACAUCGGUGAAUAAGUUUGCAAAGUCAAAAUAAAAAUAG
rnacentral:lncRNA from 1 species